GGCCUGGUGGUGUAUUGGGAACAUAUCCUCUUCAAUUCAGGAAGUUCAGAUGGUGGAAGUUGAGAGGAAAUACCCCGUUCGAUUCGGGGCCGGGCCA